UACGAAGGGUGCAAGCGUUACUCGGAAUUACUGGGCGUAAAGCGAGUGUAGGCGGUUUGGUAAGUCGGAUGUGAAAGCCCCGGGCUCAACCCGGGAAGUGCACUCGAUACUGCCAAGCUAGAGUAUCGGAGAGGUUGGUGGAAUUCUCGGUGUAGAGGUGAAAUUCGUAGAUAUCGAGAGGAACACCGGUGGCGAAGGCGGCCAACUGGACGAAUACUGACGCUGAGACUCGAAAGCGUGGGGAGCAAACAGG
rnacentral:rRNA from 1 species